CCUACGGGUGGCAGCAGUAGGGAAUAUUGCUCAAUGGGGGAAACCCUGAAGCAGCCACGCCGCGUGGAGGAUGACGGUUUUAGGAUUGUAAACUCCUUUUGUUAGAGAAGAUUAUGACGGUAUCUAACGAAUAAGCACCGGCUAACUCCGUGACAGCAGCCGCGGUAAUACGGCGGGUGCAAGCGUUACUCGGAAUCACUGGGCGUAAAGAGUGCGUAGGCGGGGUAAUAAGUCAGAUGUGAAAGCCUGUAGGUUAACUACAGAACUGCAUUUGAAACUGUUACUCUGGAGUGUGGGAGAGGUAGGUGGAAUGCUUGGUGUAGGGGUGAAAUGCGUAGAGAUCAAGAGGAAUACUGAUUGCGAAGGCGACCUGCUGGAACAUUACUGACGCUGAUGCACGAAAGCGUGGGGAGCGAACAGGAUUAGAUACCCCAGUAGUC
rnacentral:rRNA from 1 species